rnacentral:rRNA from 1 species
UACGGAGGGGGCAAGCGUUGUUCGGAAUUACUGGGCGUAAAGGGUGUGUAGGCGGUUUAGUAAGUCAGACGUGAAAGUCCUGGGCUUAACCUGGGGAUUGCGUAUGAGACUGCUAGACUAGAGUGCGAGAGAGGAGAGUAGAAUUCCUAGUGUAGAGGUGAAAUUCGUAGAUAUUAGGAGGAAUACCGGAGGCGAAGGCGGCUCUCUGGAUCGCAACUGACGCUGAGGCACGAAAGCGUGGGGAGCAAACAGG